rnacentral:rRNA from 1 species
AAAGAAAGCGGGGGGCAUGCCUAACACAUGCAAGUCGAACGAGACCUUCGGGUCUAGUGGCGCACGGGUGCGUAACGCGUGGGAACCUGCCCUUAGGUUCGGAAUAACUCCCCGAAAGGGGUGCUAAUACCGGAUAAUGUCUUCGGACCAAAGAUUUAUCGCCUUUGGAUGGGCCCGCGUUGGAUUAGCUAGUUGGUAGGGUAAAAGCCUACCAAGGCGACGAUCCAUAGCUGGUCUGAGAGGAUGAUCAGCCACACUGGGACUGAGACACGGCCCAGACUCCUACGGGAGGCAGCAGUGGGGAAUAUUGGACAAUGGGCGAAAGCCUGAUCCAGCAAUGCCGCGUGAGUGAUGAAGGCCUUAGGGUUGUAAAGCUCUUUUACCCGGGAUGAUAAUGACAGUACCGGGAGAAUAAGCUCCGGCUAACUCCGUG